GGUAAAAUCCGUAGAUAUCACUAGGAAUACCGAAAGCGAAGGCGACCUGCUGGGACAUUACUGACGCUGAGGCGUGAAAGCGUGGGGAGCAAACAGGAUUAGAUACCCUGGUAGUCCACGCCCUAAACGAUGAACACUAGUCGUCGGGGAGCAAGUCUCUUCGGUGAUGCACUUAACAGAUUAAGUGUUCCGCCUGGGGAGUACGGUCGCAAGAUUAAAACUCAAAGGAAUAGACGGGGACCCGCACAAGUGGUGGAGCAUGUGGUUUAAUUCGAAGAUACGCGAAGAACCUUACCUGGCCUUGACAUUGAUUAAACACAGUAGAGAUACAGUGGUGCCCUUCGGGGAGUAUGAAAACAGGUGCUGCACGGCUGUCGUCAGCUCGUGUCGUGAGAUGUUGGGUUAAGUCCCGCAACGAGCGCAACCCUCGUCGUUAGUUGCUAACAGGUUAAGCUGAGCACUCUAACGAGACUGCCUUCGUAAGGAGGAGGAAGGUGAGGACGACGUCAAGUCAUCAUGGCCCUUACGGCCAGGGCUACACACGUGCUACAAUGGGGCGUACAGAGAGUUGCGAUACCGCGAGGUGGAGCCAAUCUCAUAAAGCGUCUCUCAGUUCGGAUUGUUCUCUGCAACUCGAGAACAUGAAGCUGGAAUCACUAGUAAUCGUAGAUCAGCAAUGCUACGGUGAAUACGUUCCCGGGUCUUGUACUCACCGCCCGUCACACCAUGGGAGUUGAUUUCACCCGAAAUCAGGAUGCCAAACAGGCUACUGCUUACGGUGGGAUUAGCGACUGGGGUGAAGUCGUAACAAGGUA
rnacentral:rRNA from 1 species